UAGUAUUAAUAUAUUAUAUAAUUAAAUAUAGGGUGAAACUUUACUAUAGCCACAUUAUUACUGAGUAUUCCCAAGAGGUAUUACUAAUGAGCAAAUCAUACAGCUUAUCUUUUAAAACUAAGUUAAGUAUUUCAGGGUGCAAGUUCUUUACAGUUUCUCAACUAAAUGUUGAAAAGAUGCAAUGCAACAUAAAGCAAGAGGAUUACAGAUUUUUUUUCCUUAAGAUAGGCACAAUCACAAAAAAGAAGUUGCUCUCCAGAAGAUUUUUAGGGUUGUCAGACUGUUCUAUUAUAAACAACCUUAUUAGUCCUUUAUAAUUACAAUAGGUACCCCUGGACAAGAUCGAGCAGACAUGACAAAUGCUUCUGACUUCCUUUUAAAUCAAACCUGGAAGGUCAUCGCUGAACAAACAGAAUGCUAUACAACUGGGGCCAUAAAUUGUGAAAGCUAAGAAAAAGGUUAAAGGAAAUUCCUCUCUGAAGAUGAUAACAUAAUUUUGCAGGAGAAAUCAUAAGAAUCACUCUAAAGGACCAUUCUUUCCCCAAAAAGGUCAUGUGGAGUAUCUUUAAUGAGGCUGCUAUUGAGGGACAUCAUGGUGGGAACCAAAGGACGAUAAGAUUCCAGACAAAGCCUGCAUUUGUCUUCCUCACCGCCUUCCCAUAGAUACCACCAGGCUGCUCUUCCCCUGAAACCAUCUCCUCUCCCAGUUGAACAAGCCCCAGUUCCCUCAGCCUCUUCUCACAGGCUGUGGUUUAACGCAGACGGAGCCCAGAGUUCUGCUGCUGGGACUCCAGGGCACUGAAGAGCUCAGUGCUGACCGCGCUGCAACCAUGAACUAACACAACUGAGAAGGGCUGGCAUGUCCUGUCUUCACCUCCUG